GACGAACGCUGGCGGCGUGCCUAAUACAUGCAAGUUGAGCGAUGAAGAUUGGUGCUUGCACCAAUUUGAAGAGCAGCGAACGGGUGAGUAACGCGUGGGGAAUCUGCCUUUGAGCGGGGGACAACAUUUGGAAACGAAUGCUAAUACCGCAUAACAACUUUAAACAUAAGUUUUAAGUUUGAAAGAUGCAAUUGCAUCACUCAAAGAUGAUCCCGCGUUGUAUUAGCUAGUUGGUGAGGUAAAGGCUCACCAAGGCGAUGAUACAUAGCCGACCUGAGAGGGUGAUCGGCCACAUUGGGACUGAGACACGGCCCAAACUCCUACGGGAGGCAGCAGUAGGGAAUCUUCGGCAAUGGACGAAAGUCUGACCGAGCAACGCCGCGUGAGUGAAGAAGGUUUUCGAAUCGUAAAACUCUGUUGGUAGAGAAGAACGUUGGUGAGAGUGGAAAGCUCAUCAAGUGACGGUAACUACCCAGAAAGGGACGGCUAACUACGUG
rnacentral:rRNA from 1 species